UGCAGUCGAACGGACUUGAGGGGCUUGCUCCUCAAGUUAGUGGCGAACGGGUGAGUAAUGCGUCGGAACGUACCGAGUAAUGGGGGAUAACGCAGCGAAAGCUGUGCUAAUACCGCAUACGCCCUAAGGGGGAAAGCAGGGGAUCGCAAGACCUUGCGUUAUUCGAGCGGCCGACGUCUGAUUAGCUAGUUGGUGGGGUAAAGGCUCACCAAGGCGACGAUCAGUAGCGGGUCUGAGAGGAUGAUCCGCCACACUGGAACUGAGACACGGUCCAGACUCCUACGGGAGGCAGCAGUGGGGAAUUUUGGACAAUGGGCGCAAGCCUGAUCCAGCCAUUCCGCGUGAGUGAAGAAGGCCUUCGGGUUGUAAAGCUCUUUCAGCAGGAACGAAACGGACAUUUCUAAUACAAGUGUCUAAUGACGGUACCUGAAGAAGAAGCACCGGCUAACUACGUGCCAGCAGCCGCGGUAAUACGUAGGGUGCGAGCGUUAAUCGGAAUUACUGGGCGUAAAGCGUGCGCAGGCGGUUUUUUAAGCCAGAUGUGAAAUCCCCGGGCUUAACCUGGGAACUGCAUUUGGAACUGGAAGACUAGAGUGCGGCAGAGGGGGGUAGAAUUCCACGUGUAGCAGUGAAAUGCGUAGAGAUGUGGAGGAAUACCGAUGGCGAAGGCAGCCCCCUGGGUCGACACUGACGCUCAUGCACGAAAGCGUGGGGAGCAAACAGGAUUAGAUACCCUGGUAGUCCACGCCCUAAACGAUGUCAACUGGUUGUUGGGGGAGUGAAAUCCCUUAGUAACGAAGCUAACGCGUGAAGUUGACCGCCUGGGGAGUACGGUCGCAAGAUUAAAACUCAAAGGAAUUGACGGGGACCCGCACAAGCGGUGGAUGAUGUGGAUUAAUUCGAUGCAACGCGAAGAACCUUACCUGGUCUUGACAUAGUAAGAACUUUCCAGAGAUGGAUUGGUGCCUUCGGGAACUUACAUACAGGUGCUGCAUGGCUGUCGUCAGCUCGUGUCGUGAGAUGUUGGGUUAAGUCCCGCAACGAGCGCAACCCUUGUCAUUAGUUGCUACGAAAGGGCACUCUAAUGAGACUGCCGGUGACAAACCGGAGGAAGGUGGGGAUGACGUCAGGUCAUCAUGGCCCUUAUGGGUAGGGCUACACACGUCAUACAAUGGCCGGUACAAAGGGUUGCCAAG
rnacentral:rRNA from 1 species